rnacentral:rRNA from 1 species
GACGAACGCUGGCGGCGUGCUUAACACAUGCAAGUCGAACGGAAAGGCCUGCUUUCCCUUGUGGAUUGCGGGUACUCGAGUGGCGAACGGGUGAGUAACACGUGAGUGAUCUGCCCCCAACUUGGGUAUAAGCCUGGGAAACUGGGUCUAAUUCCCGAUAGGACUGCAGGGUGGUGCCUGUGGUGGAAAACGAUUUUCUAGUGGUUGGGGAUGAGCUCGCGGCCUAUCAGCUUGUUGGUGGGGUAAUGGCCUACCAAGGCGGCGACGGGUAGCCGGCCUGAGAGGGUGGACGGCCACAUUGGGACUGAGAUACGGCCCAGACUCCUACGGGAGGCAGCAGUGGGGAAUAUUGCACAAUGGGCGGAAGCCUGAUGCAGCGACGCCGCGUGGGGGAUGACGGCCUUCGGGUUGUAAACUCCUUUCGACCGCGAUGAAGCCACCUGGUUGGAAGGGUGGUGACGGUAGUGGUAGAAGAAGCACCGGCUAACUACGUG